UUGUUGUAUCUAAAUUUCCCCACUUUUCAUUGCGACAGGUACAAAUUGCUUGCAUUAUAUUAUUGCAUGUUACUGCUGUACAGGCUGUGCGAGACGCAGCAAGGAGAGACCAGGCUCAGGCAGAAGACAACACCAUGGACCUCAACACAUUCCACACCCGGUGGAGAUGGACGAGUGACCUGACCUGAGAUUUCGUUUUCUUUUCAGAUCUACACCUCCACCACCAUCAUAUAUGUCAAUGCCUCACAGCUGUGAAGCUGCCACUCCCUCCCAAACUCAUGGCACAGCACCCAGCCAUUCGGAAGAUUUGAGGCACAAACAUCAUCCAUUCAAAAACAUCUGGAAUGUCCUGGAGGAACACAAGAAGACCCUUUUGAGGAUAACAGAAUUCAUAAAGUACAUG